UACGGAGGAUGCGAGCGUUAUCCGGAUUUAUUGGGUUUAAAGGGUGCGUAGGCGGAUCGUUAAGUCAGUGGUCAAAUUGAGGGGCUCAACCCCUUCCCGCCAUUGAAACUGGCGAUCUUGAGUGGAAGAGAAGUAUGCGGAAUGCGUGGUGUAGCGGUGAUAUGCAUAGAUAUCACGCAGAACCCCGAUUGCGAAGGCAGCAUGCCGGCUUCCUACUGACGCUGAAGCACGAAAGCGUGGGGAUCGAACAGG
rnacentral:rRNA from 1 species